rnacentral:rRNA from 1 species
UACGGGGGGGGCAAGCGUUGUUCGGAAUUACUGGGCGUAAAGGGCUCGUAGGUGGCCAACUAAGUCAGACGUGAAAUCCCUCGGCUUAACCGGGGAACUGCGUCUGAUACUGGAUGGCUUGAGAUUGGGAGAGGGAUGCGGAAUUCCAGGUGUAGCGGUGAAAUGCGUAGAUAUCUGGAGGAACACCGGUGGCGAAGGCGGCAUCCUGGACCAACACUGACACUGAGGAGCGAAAGCGUGGGGAGCGAACAGG